rnacentral:tRNA from 1 species
GCCUGGCUGGCUCAGUGGGUAGAGCAUGUGACUCUUGAUCUUGGGGUUAUGGGUUCAAGCCCCAUGUCGUACG